GAGGAAAAGAAACCAACAGGGAUUGCCUUAGUACGGCGAGUGAAGCGGCAAAAGCUCAAAUUUGAAAUCUGGCACCUUCGGUGUCCGAGUUGUAAUUUGAAGAAGGUAACUUUGGAGUUGGCUCUUGUCUAUGUUCCUUGGAACAGGACGUCACAGAGGGUGAGAAUCCCGUGCGAUGAGAUGCCCAAUUCUAUGUAAAGUGCUUUCGAAGAGUCGAGUUGUUUGGGAAUGCAGCUCUAAGUGGGUGGUAAAUUCCAUCUAAAGCUAAAUAUUGGCGAGAGACCGAUAGCGAACAAGUACAGUGAUGGAAAGAUGAAAAGAACUUUGAAAAGAGAGUGAAAAAGUACGUGAAAUUGUUGAAAGGGAAGGGCUUGAGAUCAGACUUGGUAUUUUGCGAUCCUUUCCUUCUUGGUUGGGUUCCUCGCAGCUUACUGGGCCAGCAUCGGUUUGGAUGGUAGGAUAAUGACUAAGGAAUGUGGCUCUACUUCGGUGGAGUGUUAUAGCCUUGGUUGAUACUGCCUGUCUAGACCGAGGACUGCGUCUUUUGACUAGGAUGUUGGCAUAAUGAUCUUAAGCCACCCGUCU
rnacentral:rRNA from 1 species